UUUUUCGAGAGUUUGAUCCUGGCUCAGGAUGAACGCUGGCUGUGUGCCUAAUACAUGCAUGUCGAGCGAAGUACUUUUGUACUUAGCGGCGAAUGGGUGAGUAACACGUACUCAACGUACCCUUCAGAUUGGGAUAGCGGUUGGAAACAACCGAUAAUACCAAAUACUUGUAAUUAUCGCAUGGUGAUUACAUAAAAGGCGCGUUUGCGCCACUGGAGGAGCGGGGUGCGUAACAUUAGCUUGUUGGUGAGGUAACGGCCCACCAAGGCGAUGAUGUUUAGCGGGGUUGAGAGACUGAUCCGCCACACUGGGACUGAGAUACGGCCCAGACUCCUACGGGAGGCAGCAGUAGGGAAUAUUCCACAAUGGACGAAAGUCUGAUGGAGCGACACAGCGUGCAGGAUGAAGGCCCCAUGGGUUGUAAACUGCUGUGGUAAGGGAAUAAAAAAUAGCAUAGGAAAUGAUGCUAUAUUGAAUGUACCUUAUUAGAAAGCAACGGCUAACUAUGUGCCAGCAGCCGCGGUAAUACAUAGGUUGCAAGCGUUAUCCGGAAUUAUUGGGCGUAAAGCGUCUGUAGGUUGUUUAUUAAGUCUGGCGUUAAAUUUUGGGGCUCAACCCCAAAUCGCGUUGGAUACUGGUAAACUAGAGUUAUGUAGAGGUUAGCGGAAUUCCUUGUGAAGCGGUGAAAUGCGUAGAUAUAAGGAAGAACACCAACAUGGCGAAGGCAGCUAACUGGACAUACACUGACACUGAGAGACGAAAGCGUG
rnacentral:rRNA from 1 species